GACGAACGCUGGCGGCGUGCUUAACACAUGCAAGUCGAACGAUGAAGCCUAGCUUGCUAGGUGGAUUAGUGGCGAACGGGUGAGUAAUAUGUGAGUGACCUACCUUUGACUCUGGGAUAAGCCUGGGAAACUGGGUCUAAUACCGGAUACGACCAAUCUCCGCAUGGGGUGUUGGUGGAAAGCGUUAUGGAGUGGUUUUAGAUGGGCUCACGGCCUAUCAGCUUGUUGGUGAGGUAAUGGCUUACCAAGGCGACGACGGGUAGCCGGCCUGAGAGGGUGACCGGCCACACUGGGACUGAGACACGGCCCAGACUCCUACGGGAGGCAGCAGUGGGGAAUAUUGCACAAUGGGCGCAAGCCUGAUGCAGCGACGCCGCGUGAGGGAUGACGGCCUUCGGGUUGUAAACCUCUGUUAGCAUCGAAGAAGCGAAAGUGACGGUAGGUGCAGAGAAAGCGCCGGCUAACUACGUG
rnacentral:rRNA from 1 species